GCGUACGAGCCGUGGCGCCUGGUGGGUAGGGCCUGGCACCCACUCAGAGGACGCGGAGAGCCCCGACCGGGGCGGCCGGCGACGGCGCAUCUGGAUCUGGAUCGGAGCAGCGGGCGCGAGGCGCGCGACGGUGCUAGGUGGCAGGAUGCGAGGGGGGCGAGGACAGAUGGCUUGAAUGGUGGAGAGCGUCGCGCGAGUGGGUGCCAUGGUCACUCACUGACGGAGAACCACGAAACUUUCAGCCCAAACCUGAGCACCGAUCCCCUUUUCUCUACCUCCGGCGCCCAAGUUCGCUGCCGCCUCCGCCAUCUUCUCGCGCCGCCGGCCACCUACUCGAGCUCCUCUGCCGGUCCUCCGGCGCCGUCUGGUCAAACCAGCCAAUUACUUUCCCUCUCCCUUGGGUUUGUCCCAUUUGACAUCUUAUUAAACAGUGACGGGUUGACUGAGAUCUGAAUGCGGCGAUCGGCUGAUCACUGGAGCAAUCUGCUUCUUCGAGAUGAUUGCUUUGGCUCUUGAGUUUCAUUUCUUGCUCAAGGAUUGGCUUUGAAAGCCUGCAAGUUUGCUACACUUCCCAAGGAAUCACUGUAUUUUUGGUGGAUCAACCUCAUCAAGUUUGGCUGAUGGCAGCCAUACUGGGUUCCCUUGUUGGAUCAUGUGCCAAUUUUUUUUUUUGAAAGAUCCGGGGUCACUGGCUUCAUUGAUUUAGGAGAAAGCAGCGGGAAAUACAUGAUUGAUCAAGUGAUCAUGGUUUACAAGAACUGGGAAGAUCUAACUAACCAAACUAAAGAAAGCAAGGAGUUUUAUCUCGCUACAUCUUCCCCGAACGGGGGCUGAAGGCAUCGUGCUCCUGCAAGCCGCCAGAGCUCCAGCGUGCCCCUGAUGGCUCGCUGAACAUCCUCCGUCUGUGGCAUUUUUCCUCUGAAGACGCAUGCGUUCCUCUCUUUCCAAAGCUCCCAGGUGAUCAGCAGCAACAUUGUCCUGAAACCCUUUCUGCAGCUUUGAGGCGUCAGGGCGGUAAGCCGUUCCCAGUGCCUGAGAGAGCUGUGGCUCGCUUCCCGCUUCUCCUUUAGCGCUGCACAGCCAACUCUUGAAGACGCCAUCUGCCAGACUGAUCGGGCGAAAGGGCAGUCCCAGAAAAGGUGUGUGGAACUCUCCAAAUUUCUGUUGCAGCAGGUGCAGAAAUACCCAUUAGGCCAUCCUCGACGUUGCAGACGAUCGUUGCACCAUAGCCUGUCCUUGAGGAGAAGCCAGGCGAAAAUCUUCACUGUGCCUGGCGCCCAAGCCUUCCAGCAUGCUGCUUUGAUUCCCGAGGAAGAAACUUCAUUGGUUUGAAUAUUGUACGCAGCUCUGGCCGAGUAAGAACCUCCUCCUCUUCCUGCGACCCAGCUGAUCUUGUCCUCUUCGGAGGAAAGCACAAUGCCUGCUCCCUGAAUCUUCCUCCACAUUUGUAAGAACUCAAGAGCAAUCUCUGCUGUGUUUCCAUGUCUAAGAUCUCGCACCCAUUUGUCCUCUGUCAACGCAUCUUCCACCGUCCUGUUCUUCCUUCUUGAAUGCUGAAACAGAGUUGGGAACUCACGGUGCAGCGUGGAAGACUCGAUCCAGUUGCAUGUCCAGAAGAGCGCAGAUUUUCCGUUGCCCAACUGCACCGAGGUAGCAGAUGCAAACAACUCACGGUCCUCAUUGUCGCAUGGGGCUGGAAAGCUCAUCCAUGGCCUCCGCGGCUGCUGCCAAGAGAGCCACAGCCAGCGCAGCCUGAGAGCUUUACUGAAGCGAUGGAGGUCGAGCAAACCAAGCCCUCCCUUGGCCAGCGGUAGGCAAACUUUUCCCCAGGCCACCUUGCAUUUGGCGCCGGUUAUGUUUUCAACUUGAGCCCAUAGAAAUUGUCUCCGAGCUUAGUCCACCUCCUUUAGGAUUUAUUUCGGUUGCAAGAAGUUAUUACAGAAGAGGCUGUUCUGAUUCUAGGGGUAAAAGAAGACCUCAGAGAACUGCAGCGAAUAAUGAUCCAAACACGAUGCUUCCUUAAUGAUGCUGAGGCAAGGAGGACAGAAGAGACAUCAGUUAACAAUUGGCUUGGGGAGCUAAGAGAUGCUAUGUAUUAUGCUGAUGAUAUUAUUGACCUGGCAAGAUCUGAAGGAGGCAAGCUACUAGUGGAACGUCCUUUAUCAUCAAGAAAGCCAACUAAAUGUAGUGGUAUUUCGUUUUCCACCUGCAUUCCUGUUGUUCAGAAGCGUCAUAAGAUUGCUGUUUAAAUCCGAGACUUCAAUGCCGAUCUUGAGAAGAUUUCAAAGUCGGGUGAAAGAUUUUUAAAGCAUCAGAAUAUGCAACCUAAAGCAGAAGUUCGGACUCUGAAGCAUAUGGGAACUAGUCACCUUGUGGAGCCUAAUCUUGUGGGAAAGCACACUUUACAUGCUUGCAAAAGAUUGGUUGAACGGAUUUUUACACAUAAGGAAGAGAAGGCAUACAAGGUUGGUAUUGUUGGAACAGGAGGGGUUGGGAAGACAACUCUAGCUCAAAAAAUAUAUAAUGCCGAAAACUUGAAAGAAGCCUUUAGCAACCAAGCAUGGAUUUGUGUUUCUCGGGAUUACUCAGAUAUCACUCUUUUGAAAGAACUUCUUCGAAAUUUUGGGGUACAUCAUGUGCAACCCGAAUUUGUGGGUUGCAGGGGGGCUAGGGCUAAUCCGAGGUCCAUGGUGGCAGUUGCUUUCCCCAAGCUCGAAGUGCUUGUCAUCAGGGAUUUGCACAACUGGGAGGAUUGGUCCUUAGUUGAAGAUGCAACAGGAGCAGCAGCUACAGAAGGGGGUGAGGAUGUAGAUGCCGAGAUGAGGAUGGCGGCUCUCUGGCGCGGAGGCGCGGGUUGCUGCAGAUUCGCGGCCAGGCGGGGUGUGCCAGCGCGGGGUGGCCGUGGUGAGCUUGUCGGUCCAGAUCUGGAUCAGGGGGCUCCUCCGGCAUGCUGCACGGGGGCGACGCGUCCUGUCGGCGGCGGCUGGAUCCCGGGGCGGCAGCCCUGGAAGGUGGCGGCGGGUGAAGCUUGGGCUUCCCGCGGCGGCAUGACGUGGUGCAGUCCCUAUCCAAGGCGGACCUGCAUCGGGGAUCUCGUGGUUUUGCCACAGAUUGGUUCAGAUCAGAGACGGUGAUGAGCGUGCCGGAUCCAUCUCGGCGGCUCUCGCGGUUUGGCAAGGUGGAGUGGGAGCCCUCCUCCCAGGCUCCAGUGGUGGCGCAUUCAGGCAGUGGCUGGUGCGCCGGGGCUCCUACGGUGGCACUGCUGUUGCGGUUGGUCGCCGGAUCUAGGCGGCUAGAUCUGGGGCUUUGAAGGCGGUCGAGACAGUGCACAAGUUAUCAGGUGGAUUUCUUAGGACGGAUCGGGGUGAAAACUUGGUCUUCAGUCAUUGGCCGGAGCCGGCGAUGAUGAUGCCCUUAUCAUCGUUUCCUUCAUGAAGGCAUCAUCAAGGUGAAGCUCCCAACCCCACGUGUACACGUGUCAUCCGACCAGAAGUCAUGAGUGACAAGAAGAAGUCGGCAAAGAAAUGGCAAGAGAAGCUAGAUAAGCAGUCAGAGAAAUAAGAAUAAAUGAAAAGAAAGAGAGAAGCUGCAUUUGUUCCACCAAAGUUGGUCUAUCUGAAUCUGCCAAUGACAACAAUGAGAUUGCUGAUAUGACAAAAUCCUUGAAGAACAAGGCAAAGAAAUUCAGAAAAAAUGAAGCAGAUGAAAAUGUGAAAAUCGAGUCAUAUGUUGCCAGCAACGAAGAAACACAAUGAUGUGCGAAAAUAAGCGCAAAUCAUUAGCCAAGUAACAGCAACAUGUCAGCAACUUGGAUGAUAUCUCAAGUGUUUUAGUUAGUUGAUUGAACUAUUGUCGUUCCAGUUAUACAACCAAACAGCUGUACCUACC